rnacentral:misc_RNA from 3 species
AACGCACAUUGCGCCCUGUGGUAUUCCGCAGGGCAUGCCUGUUCGAGCGUCAGUACAACACUCAAGCCUAGCUUGGUCUUGGGCCUCGCCGGAAACGGCGGGCCUUAAAAGUAGUGGCGGCGCCCGCUGGGCUCUAAGCGUAGUAAUACUCCUCGCUAUAGGGACCCGGUGGAUGCUGGCCAGCAACCCCCAACUUUCUAAGUUUGACCUCGGAUCAGGUAGGGAUACCCGCUGAACUUAA